rnacentral:rRNA from 1 species
GUAACGGCGAGUGAAGCGGUAACAGCUCAAAUUUGAAAUCUGGCCUCACGGUCCGAGUUGUAAUUUGUAGAGGAUGCUUCGAGCAUGGUCUGGCCUAAGUUCCUUGGAACAGGACGUCAUAGAGGGUGAGAAUCCCGUAUGCGGCCAGGUGCCUACGCUCAUGUGAAGCUCCUUCGACGAGUCGAGUUGUUUGGGAAUGCAGCUCAAAAUGGGUGGUAAAUUUCAUCUAAAGCUAAAUAUUGGCCAGAGACCGAUAGCGCACAAGUAGAGUGAUCGAAAGAUGAAAAGCACUUUGGAAAGAGAGUUAAACAGUACGUGAAAUUGUUGAAAGGGAAGCGCUUGCAACCAGACUUGCGCGCGGCCGAUCAUCCGGUGUUCUCACCGGUGCACUCGGCCGUGCUCAGGCCAGCAUCGGUUUUGGCGGCUGGAUAAAGGCCCUAGGAAUGUGGCUCCUCUCGGGGAGUGUUAUAGCCUAGGGUGCAAUGCAGCCUGCUGGGACCGAGGACCGCGCUUCGGCUAGGAUGCUGGCGUAAUGGUUGUAAGCGGCCCGUCUUGAAACACGGACCAAGGAGUCUAACAUCUAUGCGAGUGUUUGGGUGUCAAACCCAUACGCGUAAUGAAAGUGAACGGAGGUGAGAACCCUUAAGGGUGCAUCAUCGACCGAUCCUGAUGUCUUCGGAAGGAUUUGAGUAAGAGCAUAGCUGUUGGGACCCGAAAGAUGGUGAACUAU